AUUUCGAUCUAUGUGAUCUAAAAUUAAACUUAAGCCUCGCUGGAUGAGAGUUAACGAGAGUUCACGCAUUGUUAUGGGGGACAUUUCAAACUCUAGAUCAACAAAAUAAAAGUUUGGUGAGUGUUCCAAUUACUAUGUUUUACAUGAUACACAUACAUACAUACGCAUAUACAUGCAUAAAAUUUUAUUUCAACACGCUUGCCCGGACAAUAAAAUGCUGAUUUCCAUGGGGGGCGUGCAACAGAUUUCAAGAAAGCUCAUAAAACAAUACAUGUAACUGGUCUAUUUUGGCAUCAAUAGUUAACUUAUUCCAAAGAAAUACGCCAUUAUAUGAAAAGCCCUCUUUCCUAAAUUCUGUCUUUGGCCUUGCUAACACUGAAUCUGUGUCAUUAGGGACUGGUCAUAAAGUAACUGCUACGGUGGGCUGGAGGUAAAUCACAAAUUUUGCCAAUAAGUUCGGUGACCCAUCUUAGGAUGUAGAUAAAAAUUUCAAAGCCCAUCUAAUCUUACAAAAAAAGUUUCAUGACCCACCCAAUCUAAAUUGGGAAAAUACACUUUUAAACUUGCAGGUAUGAACAUUGUAAAUAUACACGGCACUGUAUUGACAUACAUAAUUCCACCAAGCUUGACAUACUGAGCUGCUCUCCAGUUGGUUGUAUUUGCUGUGACUCGACCACUUCUUGUUGUUGUAUAAACAAAGUAUUAGCUUCAAUAGCGUCAUUUGCAUUUGAUAAUUUGGAUAUAGUCUUCUUUACUUUUGUUAUUAAUAUCUUUAUUUUUUGAAGUAGACAUGCACGGGUUUUUGUUUGGUAGCCCAACCGUGG